AAUGAAAAAAAAUACAAAUUAUCAAUGAAAUAAGAAGGUGGUUUUUUGAAAUGUGAAACAAUAUUGAUGAACCUUUAACCAGACUAAGAAAAAAAGAGAAAAUGGAGGGAGGAGCCAAGAUGGCCAAAUAGGAACAGCUCCUGUCUACAGCUCCCAGCGUGACCGACGCGGAAGACCGGUGAUUUCUGCAUUUCCAUCUGAGAUUCUGACCUUCAAGAAGUCUGCCUCUUUGAUAGAUCUUCUCUGUCUGGCUUUACUGGGGUCACCUUCCUUACAUGACAUACCUUUCUAUUUCUCCCAGGUCUUCAGAUAAACUCAAUCAAUUGUCAACCAGAAAAUUUUUAAAUCUACCUACAUGCUAGAAGCAACCCCCCAUCUCCCACUUCAAGUUGUCCCACCUUUCUGGACCAAACCAAUGUAUUUCUUAAAUGUAAUUGAUUGAAGUCUCAUGUCUCCCUAAAAUGUAUAAAACCAAGCUGCACCUCAACCACCUUGGGCUCAUGUUCUCAGGCUCUCCUGAGGGCUGUGUCACAGGCCAUGGUCACUCAUAUUGGGCUCAGAAUAAAUCUCUUCAAAUAUUUUACAGAGUUUGACUCUUUUUAUCGACAGUCCAUAUCCAUUCUGCUAUUGAGGGUAUCUAUUUAAUGUUCAAAAACAUUUUGUGUUCCUGGAAUCCUAAC
rnacentral:lncRNA from 10 species